GUGGGGAAUAUUGGGCAAUGGGCGCAAGCCUGACCCAGCAACGCCGCGUGAAGGAAGAAGGCUUUCGGGUUGUAAACUUCUUUUGUCAGGGACGAGUAGAAGACGGUACCUGACGAAUAAGCCACGGCUAACUACGUGCCAGCAGCCGCGGUAAUACGUAGGUGGCAAGCGUUGUCCGGAUUUACUGGGUGUAAAGGGCGUGUAGCCGGGAAGGCAAGUCAGAUGUGAAAUCCACGGGCUCAACUCGUGAACUGCAUUUGAAACUGUUUUUCUUGAGUAUCGGAGAGGCAAUCGGAAUUCCUAGUGUAGCGGUGAAAUGCGUAGAUAUUAGGAGGAACACCAGUGGCGAAGGCGGAUUGCUGGACGACAACUGACGGUGAGGCGCGAAAGCGUGGGGAGCAAACAGGAUUAGAUACCCCGGUAGUCC
rnacentral:rRNA from 1 species